UCUUUCGCAAACGACGCCAUUUUAUUUCUCCCCCGAUUCCCUUUUCUUUUGCAAACGGUACCGUUUUAUUUCUCUCCCCCGAUUCCCUUUUCUUUCCCGAUACCCUUUUCUUUCUCAGCCUUUCUCAGCCAAUUCUUUGCUUGACUAAAAUUAAAAACCUGUUCUAUUUUAUACCCGAAAAUCCUCUCUACCUGUUCUUCUAUUUUAUUUCUCAGUCUGUUCUUUGAUUUCUCGAAACCUAAACACCCACUGUGCCCCCUUUCCUCAGAGGCUGUAACCGAGCAACCGUUUACCUAGUUUCCCGACGCCUAGCCACUUUACCCAGCAGCGAACUUAGUCUUAGCAAUUGCGAAGAUGGUUGCACACAAAUUCACUGUUGAUUUGAAUAAACCUCUUGUCUUCCAGGGCAGUUACUAAGCUGCAAAUAUUCUGUUUCUUUCUCUUUUUUGGUCAGACUGAAUUAAGCAGGCCAAAGUGUGUAAAGGGUUUUGGUUUGGGGAAACAUUUAAGUUUGGGGUUGGAGAUACGUAGUUAUCAGCAUUAGUUGGCAGAUAACAUCGUCCAAGUGCAGGUUGCAGCUCUUUGCCAAGGUGCGCUAUCCUGUUUAAUAUCUGGUACAGACUAGAAUUAAUGGUUGUUUUUAUUCCUGUUUUCUUUAGUCUUUGACCACUAUCACAUAAAGAGCUUGAUAUUGAAAAACAGAAGCAUAAUGCUUGGUAUAUGUUUUCCAGAUAUUGUAGAAUUAACACGAAAACACAAAUCGAAUAUUUUUAUAAAACAAAAAACAAAGGGGUCACAAUCCUUCUUAUCCACUCUCCAACAUUCGCUUUUUGCAGUAGUAAAUAUAUUAAAAAAAUUAUGUCCAAAAUGUAAAUAAAAUAAUGAUAGAAGCAAGCAAUCUCAUCUGCAGAAGGUGAUGAUUUUGUUUUGCUUUUAUUCGGUAGAAACAAUGGUUACAUUUGAUUUUAGUGGAAUUUUUGUUUAUUCCUUUUGGGUUAGGAUAAAAUCAAAGUGGUGAGGAGCACCGACAUUCCCUUUUUUACAUGUAUUCAUUUUCCUUAAGCUGCCAAAAUAACAAACUAAGGACUUCCAAUUCUGUGAAUUUUCUGAGUAACUUUUUUAUUAUUGUUGGGUGGGAAGAAUGCUCUAAGUGUAUGACUACUCAAUUUAUUUAAAUUAAACCAAUUUUACUAUUCCUCUUCCCCUGUCUCCAUCUAUAUAAAAUUCUGUCUUUUAUUUUAUUUUCCGGGAAAAACUAAAAUGAGAAAAAACUCUAUUGUGGGUUUUUCCAAUAGACCAAUAAAAUAAAUAGAGUGAAAAUUAUAUUAAAAUAAAAGUGAAAUGAUUUAUGCAUGCAAAUAAAAUAUCUUGAUAUUUGUGAAAAAUGUUCCCCCAAGUCAUGAUCAAAAUGCUGAAAAUUGCAGUCCAAAAAUAUAUUUGUUGAACCCCACUAAAAUCCUUCUGCUGCACUGAUCAUAUGUGGUGGUUGUGGGACACUGGAAUUCAGCCAGUGUUUCAACUCUCACUGAUGCAACCAUCUUUGAAUGUAUAAAAUUAUUCAUAAAUAGAUUCCAUGAUUUUGAUCUAAUUGAAUAAAUAAAAAUUAAUGUUUUAACUUUUAUCACAUUUAAUAUAAAAACACAAACAUAAAUGAUCAUAUCUAAGGAUGAUACCCCCUUUCCUAGAGAUUUCACUUUGUUUUAUUUAUUUAUUUAAAGAAAUUGGAAUCCAAUGAAGCGUGUUUAUUGCCAAUGAUGUUUUAACACUUCAUUAUCUUUUUACUUUUAACUUGAUGGUAUUAAUUGAGGUGAUGGGAAAAUCGUUCAUACAUACCAACUAUGGUGGGGGCAGCUUAUGCUUACAAUUUUGUUGCCACUUUAUUGGCUGACACUAUUCAGGACUUGUUUGUAACUUACAACAAUAUUUGCAUUUUAUGGCAAAAACAAGCAAGAAUGAAGAAAAAAAAUUUCAGUAACGAAAAAUAACGGGAAUAACAGACCGUUAUUGCCGCAAUUGUCUGUUACCCGUUAAAUUGCGGCUGCGAUCCACCGCUAACGAUGUGACUCCUCUUCCCAUUGCUAUUUUCAGUAGUAGCAGUUUCGAACGGUGCCGCUACCGCUAUAUAGAGGCUGCUAUUUUGGUAUCGGACUGCUAUUUAAAUCCCUGGCCUCAAGUAUGGGCCCGAGCAACACGAACCAAAUCAUAGAAUGAAGACUUCUAUUUACUUUCAGUAGGAAAAUAUAUAUCUUUCUAUAACCGAACACUGUACGUUUUUCCUAAAAAAUAGUUUUUAUUCUUAGAAAUAAAUUUCCACUACUUUUUAUUAGAAUAACGGCGUAUGAGAAGGUGUCUAAAUUGUUUAACUGAUAGUUCUUAUUUAUACAACAGUUCUAUUCGGAUAGGGCUUGAUUAAAUACUAAUAUUGUAAAAGAUGAUACAACUUCUACUCUAAGUAAAAAAAGUAAGGGUGGCAGCGCCUUUUUGUAAUACCCUAGGGUUGUGAAACCCACGUCCUACUAGAUCACUAGAUUAAAAUGUGUGAUGUCACAUUACGUUGUUGAAGAAACUUAGACUAAAUCAAUAUCAUUUUCCUGGGUGACAUGG